GGUUAAGCGACUAAGCGUACACGGUGGAUGCCCUGGCAGUCAGAGGCGAUGAAGGACGUGCUAAUCUGCGAUAAGCGUCGGUAAGGUGAUAUGAACCGUUAUAACCGGCGAUUUCCGAAUGGGGAAACCCAGUGUGUUUCGACACACUAUCAUUAACUGAAUCCAUAGGUUAAUGAGGCGAACCGGGGGAACUGAAACAUCUAAGUACCCCGAGGAAAAGAAAUCAACCGAGAUUCCCCCAGUAGCGGCGAGCGAACGGGGAGCAGCCCAGAGCCUGAAUCAGUGUGUGUGUUAGUGGAAGCGUCUGGAAAGGCGCGCGAUACAGGGUGACAGCCCCGUACACAAAAAUGCACAUGCUGUGAGCUCGAUGAGUAGGGCGGGACACGUGGUAUCCUGUCUGAAUAUGGGGGGACCAUCCUCCAAGGCUAAAUACUCCUGACUGACCGAUAGUGAACCAGUACCGUGAGGGAAAGGCGAAAAGAACCCCGGCGAGGGGAGUGAAAAAGAACCUGAAACCGUGUACGUACAAGCAGUGGGAGC
rnacentral:rRNA from 1 species